rnacentral:rRNA from 1 species
CUCGUAGGCGGUUUGUCGCGUCUGCCGUGAAAGUCCGAGGCUCAACUUCGGAUCUGCGGUGGGUACGGGCAGACUAGAGUGAUGUAGGGGAGACUGGAAUUCCUGGUGUAGCGGUGAAAUGCGCAGAUAUCAGGAGGAACACCGAUGGCGAAGGCAGGUCUCUGGGCAUCUACUGACGCUGAGGAGCGAAAGCAUGGGGAGCGAACA